UGGUAGUNCACGCCGUAAACGAUGAGUGCUAGGUGUUAGGCCCUUUCCGGGGCUUAGUGCCGCAGCUAACGCAUUAAGCANUCCGCCAGGGGAGUACGACCGCAAGGUUGAAACUCAAAGGAAUUGACGGGGGCCCGCACAAGCGGUGGAGCAUGUGGUUUAAUUCGAAGCAACGCGAAGAACCUUACCAGGUCUUGACAUCCCGAUGCCCGCUCUAGAGAUAGGGUUUUACUUCGGUACAUCGGUGACAGGUGGUGCAUGGUUGUCGUCAGCUCGUGUCGUGAGAUGUUGGGUUAAGUCCCGCAACGAGCGCAACCCUUAUUGUUAGUUGCCAUCAUUCAGUUGGGCACUCUAGCGAGACUGCCGGUAAUAAACCGGAGGAAGGUGGGGAUGACGUCAAAUCAUCAUGCCCCUUAUGACCUGGGCUACACACGUGCUACAAUGGCUGGUACAACGAGUCGCAAGUCGGUGACGGCAAGCUAAUCUCUUAAAGCCAGUCUCAGUUCGGAUUGUAGGCUGCAACUCGCCUACAUGAAGUCGGAGUCGCUAGUAUCGCGGAUCAGCACGCCGCGGUGAAUACGUUCCCGGGCCUUGUACACACCGCCCGUCACACCACGAGAGUUUGUAACACCCGAGGUCGGUGAGGUAACCUUUUAGGAGCCANCC
rnacentral:rRNA from 1 species